UACGUAGGGUGCAAGCGUUGUUCGGAAUUACUGGGCGUAAAGAGCGUGUAGGCGGCCAGGUAGGUCAGCUGUGAAAACUCGAGGCUCAACCUCGAGACGCCGGUUGAAACCAUCUGGCUAGAGUCCGGAAGAGGAGAGUGGAAUUCCUGGUGUAGCGGUGAAAUGCGCAGAUAUCAGGAAGAACACCCGUGGCUAAGGCGGCUCUCUAGUACGGUACUGACGCUGAGACGCGAAAGCGUGGGGAGCGAACAGG
rnacentral:rRNA from 1 species